GUGCUUCGGCAGCACAUAUACUAAAAUUGGAACGAUACAGAGAAGAUUAGCAUGGUCCCUGCACAAUGAUGACAUGCAAAUUGUGAAGUAUUCCAAUUUUUU